rnacentral:snRNA from 1 species
GGAUGUUAGGGCGAUCUGGUUGUGAUAUCUGUCACCCCAAUGAUCGCCAGGGUUGAGUCAGCUGAUUUUGCUGGCUAGGCAGGUGUCCUCUUCCUCCCUUACAGCUACAUUGUGUCCCUCCAAAAGGAUGACUUCCCCCAGUAGAGACAGAUUGCAUCUUUGGUCAAGGAUGUAUGAGUAGCUGUGCUACACUGCUAGAUCCUCCAACCAAGCUCUCAAACUAGUAGUCAUACUGUGGUGUCCUUGAACCACUUAAAUUGUUAGCAGCACUAGCUACAGAU